rnacentral:rRNA from 1 species
GACGAACGCUGGCGGCGUGCUUAACACAUGCAAGUCGAACGAAAAGAGGGAAAGAGCUUGCUCUUUCCGGAAUUGAGUGGCAAACGGGUGAGUAACACGUAAACAACCUGCCUUCAGGAUGGGGACAACAGACGGAAACGACUGCUAAUACCGAAUAAGUUCCAAGGGCCGCAUGGCCCAUGGAAGAAAAGGUGGCCUCUACCUGUAAGCUAUCGCCUGAAGAGGGGUUUGCGUCUGAUUAGCUGGUUGGAGGGGUAACGGCCCACCAAGGCGACGAUCAGUAGCCGGUUGAGAGGAUGAACGGCCACACUGGAACUGAGACACGGUCCAGACUCCUACGGGAGGCAGCAGUGGGGAAUCUUCCGCAAUGGGCGAAAGCCUGACGGAGCAACGCCGCGUGAGUGAUGACGGCCUUCGGGUUGUAAAACUCUGUGAUCCGGGACGAAAAGGCAGAGUGCGAAGAACAAACUGCAUUGACGUACCGGAAAGCAGCC